GUCUCUCCUCAUCGACUCGUGUUAUUUUAUUUUUCUUUCUUGUUCCUUAUUCCUUCUUAUUUAUUAUUCGUCUCCGUCUUUAUUCGUCUUGUGAGGAAGGAAGCAAGGAACAGAGAAAACUGCGUCAAGCGCGUACUGAAGGAAACCAAGUGACGUUCCCCAGAGUGAGUUGCCUGCCUUUCCGCGCAAGAGAAGGCGUCCAGUCAACCAGCCGCUGGAAGCGUGCAUUCCCCAAGACUGACGGAAGGGGAGACAUGAGUGCGAACUGCUAGCUUCCUUGGUGUCUCCAGCGGAUCGUUGAUGUUGCGAGGCGUGGUCUC